rnacentral:rRNA from 1 species
GAUGAACGCUAGCGGCAGGCCUAACACAUGCAAGUCGAGGGGUAGCAGGAUUAAGCUUGCUUAAUUGCUGACGACCGGCGCACGGGUGCGUAACGCGUAUGCAACCUACCCUAUACUGGGGUAUAGCCCGAAGAAAUUCGGAUUAAUCCCCCAUAGCAUGUAUGAAUCGCAUGGUUUAUACAUUAAAGGUUACGGUAUAGGAUGGGCAUGCGUCCCAUUAGCUAGAUGGUGAGGUAACGGCUCACCAUGGCGACGAUGGGUAGGGGGCCUGAGAGGGUGGUCCCCCACACUGGUACUGAGACACGGACCAGACUCCUACGGGAGGCAGCAGUGAGGAAUAUUGGUCAAUGGGCGAGAGCCUGAACCAGCCAUGCCGCGUGCAGGAAGACGGUCCUAUGGAUUGUAAACUGCUUUUAUUUGGGAAUAAACUCUGGUACGUGUACCAGCCUGAAGGUACCAAAUGAAUAAGCACCGGCUAACUCCGUGCCAGCCGCCGCCGUAAUAC